rnacentral:rRNA from 1 species
AGACCCGAAACCCGGUGAUCUAGCCAUGGGCAGGUUGAAGGUUGGGUAACACUAACUGGAGGACCGAACCGACUAAUGUUGAAAAAUUAGCGGAUGACCUGUGGCUGGGGGUGAAAGGCCAAUCAAACCGGGAGAUAGCUGGUUCUCCCCGAAAGCUAUUUAGGUAGCGCCUCGUGAAUUCAUCUCCGGGGGUAGAGCACUGUUUCGGCUAGGGGGCCAUCCCGGCUUACCAACCCGAUGCAAACUGCGAAUACCGGAGAAUGUUAUCACGGGAGACACACGGCGGGUGCUAACGUCCGUCGUGAAGAGGGAAACAACCCAGACCGCCAGCUAAGGUCCCAAAGUCAUGGUUAAGUGGGAAACGAUGUGGGAAGGCCCAGACAGCCAGGAUGUUGGCUUAGAAGCAGCCAUCAUUUAAAGAAAGCGUAAUAGCUCACUGGUCGAGUCGGCCUGCGCGGAAGAUGUAACGGGGCUAAACCAUGCACCGAAGCUGCGGCAGCGACACUCAGGUGUUGUUGGGUAGGGGAGCGUUCUGUAAGCCUGCGAAGGUGGCCUGUGAGGGUUGCUGG